AUACGUAGGUGACAAGCGUUAUCCGGAUUUACUGGGCGUAAAGGGUGCGUAGGCGGGGAUGCAAGUCAGAUGUGAAAUGUAUGGGCUCAACCCAUGAACUGCAUUUGAAACUGCAACUCUUGAGUGAGGUAGAGGUAAGCGGAAUUCCUAGUAUAGCGGUGAAAUGCGUAGAUAUUAGGAGGAACAUCGGUGGCGAAGGCGGCUUACUGGGCCUUUACUGACGCUGAGGCACGAAAGCGUGGGGAGCAAACAGGAUUAGAUACCCUGGUAGUCCACGCUGUAAACGAUGAUGACUAGGUGUGGGGGGACUGAACCCUUCCGUGCCGCAGUUAACACAAUAAGUCAUCCACCUGGGGAGUACGACCGCAAGGUUGAAACUCAAAUGAAUUGACGGGG
rnacentral:rRNA from 1 species